UCAAAGGAAUUGACGGGGGCCCGCACAAGCGGCGGAGCAUGUGGCUUAAUUCGACGCAACGCGAAGAACCUUACCAAGGCUUGACAUACACCGGAAAGCAUUAGAGAUAGGGCCCCCCUUGUGGUCGGUGUACAGGUGGUGCAUGGCUGUCGUCAGCUCGUGUCGUGAGAUGUUGGGUUAAGUCCCGCAACGAGCGCAACCCUUGUCCCGUGUUGCCAGCAGGCCCUUGUGGUGCUGGGGACUCACGGGAGACCGCCGGGGUCAACUCGGAGGAAGGUGGGGACGACGUCAAGUCAUCAUGCCCCUUAUGUCUUGGGCUGCACACGUGCUACAAUGGCCGGUACAAUGAGCUGCGAUACCGCGAGGUGGAGCGAAUCUCAAAAAGCCGGUCUCAGUUCGGAUUGGGGUCUGCAACUCGACCCCAUGAAGUCGGAGUCGCUAGUAAUCGCAGAUCAGCAUUGCUGCGGUGAAUACGUUCCCGGG
rnacentral:rRNA from 1 species